CUGGGAUAACACCUGGAAACAGAUGCUAAUACCGGAUAACAACACUAGACGCAUGUCUAGAGUUUGAAAGAUGGUUCUGCUAUCACUCUUGGAUGGACCCGCGGUGCAUUAGCUAGUUGGUAAGGUAACGGCUUACCAAGGCAAUGAUGCAUAGCCGAGUUGAGAGACUGAUCGGCCACAUUGGGACUGAGACACGGCCCAAACUCCUACGGGAGGCAGCAGUAGGGAAUCUUCCACAAUGGACGAAAGUCUGAUGGAGCAACGCCGCGUGAGUGAAGAAGGGUUUCGGCUCGUAAAGCUCUGUUGGUAGUGAAGAAAGAUAGAGGUAGUAACUGGCCUUUAUUUGACGGUAAUUACUUAGAAAGUCACGGCUAACUACGUGCCAGCAGCCGCGGUAAUACGUAGGUGGCAAGCGUUGUCCGGAUUUAUUGGGCGUAAAGCGAGUGCAGGCGGUUCAAUAAGUCUGAUGUGAAAGCCUUCGGCUCAACCGGAGAAUUGCAUCAGAAACUGUUGAACUUGAGUGCAGAAGAGGAGAGUGGAACUCCAUGUGUAGCGGUGGAAUGCGUAGAUAUAUGGAAGAACACCAGUGGCGAAGGCGGCUCUCUGGUCUGCAACUGACGCUGAGGCUCGAAAGCAUGGGUAGCGAACAGGAUUAGAUACCCUGGUAGUCCAUGCCGUAAAC
rnacentral:rRNA from 1 species